rnacentral:rRNA from 1 species
AUAUCAAUAAGCGGGAGGAAAA